GAUGAACGCUAGCGGUGUGCCUAAUGCAUGCAAGUCGAACGGGAACUUUUGGAUUCGUCUGAAAGUGAGAGUGGCGAACGGGUGAGUAACACGUAGGUGACCUGCCCUAGAGAGGGGAAUAACCAGUGGAAACGCUGGCUAAAACUCCAGAUGUCAGUGGGCUUAGAAAGCACUGACUAAAACUCCGGUGCUCUAGGAGGGGCCUGCGGCCCAUCAGCUAGUUGGUAGGGUAACGGCCUACCAAGGCAUAGACGGGUAGGGGGCGUGAGAGCGUGACCCCCCACACUGGUACUGAGACACGGACCAGAUACCUACGGGUAGCAGCAGCAAGGAAUAUUGCCCAAUGGACGCAAGUCUGAGGCAGCAACGCCGCGUGGAGGACGAAGGCUUUCGGGUCGUAAACUCCUUUUCUGGGGGAUGAGAAAGGACAGUACCCCAGGAAUAAGUCUCGGCUAACUACGUGCCAGCAGCCGCGGUAAAACGUAGGAGGCGAGCGUUAUCCGGAAUUACUGGGCGUAAAGCGCAUGCAGGCGGUUCUUUAAGUCGGACGUGAAAGCUCCUGGCUCAACUGGGAGAGGCCGUUCGAAACUA
rnacentral:rRNA from 1 species